UGUCUCUUUCACACGGAGGAUUUCCUCCCGUCCUUCUUCCCGCGAAAGAGGCCCAUUUAGUAAGGCGCCAGUAUUUGUGGAAGCAUCACGCCGCGCGUGGAAGCCGAUUUCGAUUUAGGCCCGUCUAUCAUGAAUAAUCUGAAUAUUUAAAGAAAAGUCGCCGUGUUCACAAAAAAUUUUGAACAUGCUAAAUUCGUCGAUUCCACCGCCUCGAAUCAUACAAAAAACUACAGGUUCAAAAGAUAAGAUGUUAACUCAGAUAUUAUUGAAAAACAGAAUAUUCCUUCAUGUAGUCCGCCAAAACAUGACGACACAAUAUCUUGAAAAAUUCAAUAA